rnacentral:rRNA from 1 species
GAUGAACGCUGGCGGCGUGCCUAAUACAUGCAAGUCGAGCGAACGGACGAGAAGCUUGCUUCUCUGAUGUUAGCGGCGGACGGGUGAGUAACACGUGGAUAACCUACCUAUAAGACUGGGAUAACUUUGGGAAACCGGAGCUAAUACCGGAUAAUAUUUUGAACCGCAUGAUUCAAAAGUGAAAGACGGUCUUGCUGUCACUUAUAGAUGGAUCCGCGCUGCAUUAGCUAGUUGGUAAGGUAACGGCUUACCAAGGCAACGAUGCAUAGCCGACCUGAGAGGGUGAUCGGCCACACUGGAACUGAGACACGGUCCAGACUCCUACGGGAGGCAGCAGUAGGGAAUCUUCCGCAAUGGGCGAAAGCCUGACGGAGCAACGCCGCGUGAGUGAUGAAGGUCUUCGGAUCGUAAAACUCUGUUAUUAGGGAAGAACAUAUGUGUAAGUAACUGUGCACAUCUUGACGGUACCUAAUCAGAAAGCCACGGCUAACUACGUG